CAAGGCGACGAUCCGUAGCUGGUCUGGGAGGACGAUCAGCCACACUGGGACUGAGACACGGCCCAGACUCCUACGGGAGGCAGCAGUGGGGAAUCUUGCGCAAUGGGCGAAAGCCUGACGCAGCGACGCCGCGUGCGGGAAGAAGGCCUUCGGGUUGUAAACCGCUUUCAGGAGGGACGAAGCCCCUCGGGUGAAUAGCCCAGAGGGUGACGGUACCUCCAGAAGAAGCCCCGGCUAACUACGUGCCAGCAGCCGCGGUAAUACGUAGGGGGCAAGCGUUGUCCGGAAUCAUUGGGCGUAAAGAGCUCGUAGGCGGCUCGGUAAGUCGGGUGUGAAACCCCCAGGCUCAACCUGGGGACGCCACCCGAUACUGCCGUGGCUAGAGUCCAGUAGGGGAGUGUGGAAUUCCCGGUGUAGCGGUGAAAUGCGCAGAUAUCGGGAGGAACACCAGCGGCGAAGGCGGCACUCUGGGCUGGAACUGACGCUGAGGAGCGAAAGCGUGGGUAGCAAACAGGAUUAGAUACCCUGGUAGUCCACGCCGUAAACGUUGGGCACUAGGUGUGGGGACCCUCCAACGGUUUCCGUGCCGUAGCUAACGCAUUAAGUGCCCCGCCUGGGGAGUACGGCCGCAAGGCUAAAACUCAAAUGAAUUGACGG
rnacentral:rRNA from 1 species